CUUGAGGGCAAGUCUGGUGCCAGCAGCCGCGGUAAUUCCAGCUCCAAUAGCGUAUAUUAAAGUUGUUGCAGUUAAAAAGCUCGUAGUUGGAUUUCGGGAUUAGUACGUUGGUCGUGCCUUCGGUACGUACUGGUGUUACUGAUUCCUACCUUCUGACGAACCAUCAUGUCAUUAAUUUGGUGUGGCGGGGAAUCAGGACUGUUACUUUGAAAAAAUUAGAGUGUUUAAAGCAGGCUCGCGCUUGAAUACAUUAGCAUGGAAUAAUGAAAUAGGACGUUGAUCCUAUUUUGUUGGUUUCUAGGAUUGACGUAAUGAUUAAUAGGGAUAGUUGGGGGCAUUAGUAUUCAAUUGUCAGAGGUGAAAUUCUUGGAUUUAUUGAAGACUAACUACUGCGAAAGCAUUUGCCAAGGAUGUUUUCAUUAAUCAAGAACGAAAGUUAGGGGAUCGAAGACGAUCAGAUACCGUCGUAGUCUUAWCCAUAAACUAUGCCGACUAGGGAUCGGAUGAUGUUAAUUUUUUAAUGACUCAUUCGGCGCCUUACGGGAAAC
rnacentral:rRNA from 1 species